UUCUGUUCUGUGUUUGUAUUUCACCGUUCAGGACUGUUUACGUUUCGUUCUCGUGUUUUGUUGUUUUUGUUCGAGUCUUCGUUUCCAUUAAAAGAGAAUAUGAAUACUUACCACGCUGCACCUUGGGCCUCCUCUCUUUCUCCCAAUGACGAACGUUACAUGUUUUGAAGUUUGGUUGGUUGCCAUGUUUACUAAUGACAUUAGAAAGUAAUUGAAAACAACAACAAAAAAAUGUUCUCCCUUGCAUACACUUCUCCGCUCUCAUUCCCUCAUCAUUUUCUCUCGCCCUUCAUCCUCCUUCACCUUCUUUCUCCCCCUCUACCUCUCCAUCACCCUCCCUCUCUUGUCUUUCUCUACCCUUUUCCUCCUCCACUCACUUUCUAUCUCUCAGAGCUGAGAGUGCUGAUUGUGUGGGGCCACAAAUGUCUGUGAGGCACUCUGUUGGAAACACAAUCCUGGGUAGAGAGGCCUUUCAAGCUGGGGGAAUCACUGCCCAGUGUGAGAAGAGAGGUGGAGGAGUGAGAGGGAAGAAGCUCACUCUGGUCAAAGCUCCUGGCUGGUUGGAGGAAAUAUUGUUUAGGUGACAAACCAGAUUUGGUUAAUUGAGAGAACUUAUAAGCAGUACAUCUCUUUGCCACCCUGGACCCCAUGCUUUCAUACUUGUGGUUGAGGCUGAGUGUCGGUUAACAGAAGCAAGCAGGAAAUCAGUAGAGGAACACCUGGAGCUUCUCAGUGAGAGAGUCUGGGGUUACACUAUUGUGCUGUUCGCCUAUGGGGAAGGUCUGGGAGACACAACAACCAUUGAGCAGCACAUUAAGAAUGAAGGGAAGGCACUCCAGUGGCUCAUUGAGAGAUGUGGGAGCAGGUACUAUGUCUUUGACAGUAAAGGUAAAGCCACUGGCACUGAGGUCACAGAGCUGCUGGAGAAGAUAGAGGAGAUGGUGGCAGGGAACAAUGGGAGCCACUUUUGGAGUUGAGGGUGCAGUGUUGCUGAACAUUGAGGAGAAGGGAAGGGGAGUGGUGGAGAGAUCGGAAGAAAGACGUCUGAAAACGCAGAAGGAAAGGAAGAAACUAAAUGCGCUUCUGAAUGGUUGGUAUAUCUACUCAGGAGUGAAUCACAAAUGUUAAUAAAUAAAUGGUCAGAAGAGACAACAUGAACCACUUAAAUAUGAUAAAUAUGCUCCAAGCAACAAUUCCACCUGCAUAUACCCAUUUAUUAUUCCUCCACAAAACUGGGGUGGGUCUUUGUUGGGAGAAGUGCUGCUGGAAAUGCCAUCUUGAACACUUAAGUUUUGAGGUUGGAAGGAGAAGUGUAAAAUCUACACAACAGUCGGCUAAGGUUGGGGGGAGGCAAGUCACUGUCGUGGACACACCCGGAUGGUGGAAAUUCUUUCCGGCCGAGUUCACUUCUCCCUUGGUGAAAUCAGAAAUCCUGAAGGGUGUUUCUCUUUGUUGUCCGUUUCCCAAUGCUGUCCUCCUGAUGAUUCCUGUAGACACAGCGUUUACUGAGGAACAGAGGAAGGUGACACAGGACAACAUGAAGCUGCUAGGAGAGGGAGACUGGAGACACACUAUAGUGGUCUUUACCUGGGGGGCAUGUCUGGGAGACACAACUAUUGAGCAGCACAUUGAGAGUGAAGGGAAGGCCCUGCAUUGGCUUAUAGAGAAAUGUGGGAACAGGUAUCAUGUCUUUGACAGUAAGGGUAAAGACUCAGACGCUCAGGUCAAAGAGCUGCUGGUGAAGAUAGAGGAGAUGGUGGCAGGGAAACAUUUAUUUUGCCUGAGCACUGAGAUCCAUAAACCAGUGGAGACAGGGAUCAUUCCACGGGCAGAUGAUGAAGCCACUGAGAAGAUUUCACAACUUCUCAAUCAGGAAUGAGAUCGGAGAAACUGGGAGAUUUUGGAAAUAGCAAAGACAUCAACUCCACCAAUUCUAAAGGGAAAUAGGAGUAUGCCUGAACCUUAUGGAACUGACUGUGAGUAAUCACUUUUCUCUCUCUCUUUACCCCAGCAUGCUUUGUUCGAAGUUCUUCAUUGUUAUUGUUUUUCCUGAACAGUCAGUGGAGACAAGCCACCCCUGGAGAGCUCUGGACUGGGAGAGGGACAAAUCCCAAUGGAAGAUCCGAGGGAGGAUCAAGGUGUUAGCACAGGCGGUCAACAAUUAGAAAGAUUGCAGUCGAUAGAUCUGGAGGUGAGAGCACAGUGGAAGGAACUGCUGGAGAAGGAGUGGAGUCGGAGAGAGAUAGCCAGUCAGCUGAAUCUGCCAUCUCAUGGCUGGGAUCCAUUCCGUUGUCCUGGGUGGAAGGCAGAACACA